UACGAAGGGGGCUAGCGUUGCUCGGAAUCACUGGGCGUAAAGCGCGCGUAGGCGGCUUCUUAAGUCAGGGGUGAAAUCCUGGAGCUCAACUCCAGAACUGCCUUUGAUACUGGGAAGCUUGAGUUCGGGAGAGGUGAGUGGAACUGCGAGUGUAGAGGUGAAAUUCGUAGAUAUUCGCAAGAACACCAGUGGCGAAGGCGGCUCACUGGCCCGAUACUGACGCUGAGGUGCGAAAGCGUGGGGAGCAAACAGG
rnacentral:rRNA from 1 species